GGAAUCUUAGACAAUGGGGGCAACCCUGAUCUAGCCAUGCCGCGUGAGUGAUGAAGGCCUUAGGGUUGUAAGGCUCUUUCAGCUGGGAAGAUAAUGACGGUACCAGCAGAAGAAGCCCCGGCUAACUCCGUGCCAGCAGCCGCGGUAAUACGGAGGGGGCUAGCGUUGUUCGGAAUUACUGGGCGUAAAGCGCGCGUAGGCGGAUGUUCAAGUCGGGGGUGAAAUCCCGGGGCUCAACCCCGGAACUGCCUCCGAUACUGGACGUCUCGAGGACGGAAGAGGCGAGUGGAAUGCCGAGUGUAGAGGUGAAAUUCGUAGAUAUUCGGCGGAACACCAGUGGCGAAGGCGGCUCGCUGGUCCGUUUCUGACGCUGAGGCGCGAAAGCGUGGGGAGCAAAC
rnacentral:rRNA from 1 species